GACGAACGCUGGCGGCGCGCCUAACACAUGCAAGUCGAACGGAGCUGAGAGAAGCUUGCUUUUCUUAGCUUAGUGGCGAACGGGUGAGUAACGCGUGAGUAACCUGCCCUGGAGUGGGGGGCAACAGUUGGAAACGACUGCUAAUACCGCAUAAGCCCACGAUCCGGCAUCGGAUUGAGGGAAAAGGAUUUAUUCGCUUCAGGAUGGACUCGCGUCCAAUUAGCUAGUUGGUGAGGUAACGGCCCACCAAGGCGACGAUUGGUAGCCGGACUGAGAGGUUGAACGGCCACAUUGGGACUGAGACACGGCCCAGACUCCUACGGGAGGCAGCAGUGGGGGAUAUUGCACAAUGGGGGAAACCCUGAUGCAGCGACGCCGCGUGGAGGAAGAAGGUUUUCGGAUUGUAAACUCCUGUCGUUAGGGACGAUAAUGACGGUACCUAACAAGAAAGCACCGGCUAACUACGUG
rnacentral:rRNA from 1 species